rnacentral:lncRNA from 1 species
CAGAAAAUAGCUAAAAUGGGGUGUUUUAGUACAUUUCAAAUAUUAAGUACAAGUACACUCAAGUUCUCAAAUAUCAUACAGAUAUCAGCGGGAUGCCAAGUUUUGCUAUGCGAUUCCUAUAACGCAUCCAUGAACAAAUAAAGAACCCACCGUUUCCACCAAAAUUCAGUUCUAUGAAACACCUAUUCGAGCCCAAAAAUCAUAUUUCUGCCAGAAUUUCAAGCUGAACAUUGCAGUACUUAAAGUGUUCUUGCACAAGUGAACAGUGAAGUAAAAUUAGAUCUCUCUCUCUCUC